rnacentral:rRNA from 1 species
UCUAUGAAAUUGAUCUCCCCGUGCAGAAGCGGGGAUAAUACCAUAAGACGAGAAGACCCUAUGGAGCUUUAGACGUCAGAGCAGCCCAUGUAAAGCACCCCUUAACAAAGGAAAAAACCAAAUGAAGCCUGCCCUAAUGUCUUUGGUUGGGGCGACCGCGGGGAAAUACAAAACCCCCAUGUGGAGUAGGAAUACACAUUCCUAAACCCAAGAGCUCCCGCUCUAAUGAACAGAAAUUCUGACCAAUAAGAUCCGGCACACGCCGAUCAACGGACCGAGUUACCCUANGGAUAACAGCGCAAUCCCCUUAAAGAGCCCUUAUCGACAAGGGGGUUUACGACCUCGAUGU